CCUCCCUGGCAAUGGGCAAAGGUGUUUACCUGGUUGUUGGUGGUGUUGCUCUUAUGUCAGUCGGGGGCAGAGCAGAUAACAGUCUUUUGUUCAUCCUAGCUUGAUACUUGGUUUGGCAGCCAAAACUGUUUUAUGCCUAGGAUGCAUUC